rnacentral:rRNA from 1 species
UAUACUGGGCGUAAGCGCGCGCAGGCGGUUUGUUAAGUCAGAUGUGAAGCCCCGGGCUCAACCUGGGAACUGCAUUUGAUACUGGCAGACUAGAGUAUGGUAGAGGGAGGUAGAAUUCCC